AAGGAAUGGUUGAUACAUCAAAACAACACCAAAAUGUCUUUCACUACUCAGGAACGACCUUCUACUGGCUCGCACACAGUCCUGACAACAGCACAACACAAAAAUCACUAAUAUUUGUUUGUGUAGAUGUAAAUUCUGUCUCUUAUCUUAACACAGUAAAACGCAGAAUCUCAUUGAUACGUCUGCAGGGACUAUGAAGUGUGUAGCUGUGUUGUUAACACUAUUACUAGUAGCAGCCAAUGUACAAGCUCUCUCCGACUGUGUUAGCUGCAUUGUAAAUGAAAGCUGCAGAGCCGAGUGCGUGAAUUCAUUCAAAGACAACUGCCAAUGCAAAGCCGACACGUACGACUGUUUUCAGUCUUGUCUUUCUGUGUUUCUGAUGCAAACAUGUUGCACUGGGAAAUAAAAUAAACAACUGAAUCAAGUUUUGUUUCAAA